CACCUGCACUAUUUGACGUUUACCUACAGAAGAAGCACCGGCUAACUCCGUGCCAGCAGCCGCGGUAAUACGGAGGGUGCGAAGCGUUAAUCGGAAUUACUGGGGCGUAAAGCGCAUGCAGGCGGCCUGUUAAGUCAGAUGUGAAAGCCCGGGGCUUAACCUCGGAAUUGCAUUUGAAACUGGCAGGCUAGAGUCUUGUAGAGGGGGGUAGGAAUUUCAGGUGUAGCGGUGAAAUGCGUAGAGAUCUGAAGGAAUACCAGUGGCGAAGGCGGCCCCCUGGACAAAGACUGACGCUCAGAUGCGAAAGCGUGGGGAGCAAACAGGAUUAGAUACCCUGGUAG
rnacentral:rRNA from 1 species